rnacentral:rRNA from 1 species
AGCUCCAAUAGCGUAUAGUAAAAUUGUUGCGAUUAAAAAACUCGUAGUUGGAUUUCUGCCGAGGACGAUCGGUCCGCCCUCUGGGUGAGUAUCUGGCUUGGCCUGGGCAUCCUCUUGGAGAACGUAGCUGCACUUGACUGUGUGGUGCGGUAUCAAGGAUUUUCACUUUGAGGAAAUUAGAGUGUUUCAAGCAGGCAUGCGCCUUGAAUACAUUAGCAUGGAAUAAUAAGAUAGGACCUCGGUUCUAUUUUAUUGGUUUCUAGAGCUGAGGUAAUGAUUAAUAGGGAUAGUUGGGGGCAUUCGUAUUUAACUGUCAGAGGUGAAAUCUUUGGAUUAGUUGAGGACGGACUACUGCGAAAGCAUUUGCCAAGGAUGUUUUCA